UUGUUUAUUCAUUUGAAAUGCUUCUACCCUGCCUUUCUUCUUAAAAAGGACUAAAGGCAGCUUACACCAUGGGAAGACAAUAUUUGAAGCUGAAUACAAUGAGUAUAAAAAGGUGGUUUACAUUGUUAAAAGACAAUGUUGACGCUAAAAACAAUUAAGUAUAUAAAUAUGGAAAAGGGACAAACAAAUACCACUCUGAGAAAUGGGAAGCAAAAAUCGUACUAAAAACACAGUCAAAGCCAUAAUGCAUGACAAAUCUCUCUAAAAAUCCCACUCAGGUAGCUGGUCACUGAGGGAGAGCCUGCCAGAAGAGAAAGGUCUUGGUCUGCUUGUUGGAAGGACAGCAAAGAUGGGGCCAGCCUGGCCUCCAGUGGCAGAGAGUUCCACUGUCCAGGAGCAGCCAUGGGAGAAGCCGCCCUCUCCUGUGUCUCCAUCCAAAGCUUGACAAGAACAGCACUUCUAAACACCUUAAGAACCCCUGCUGUGUCAUGCUUCCCGCCAUUUUCUCUGAGGGAAGAGCUCUCUGCCGUGGGAAGGGGCUUCUCCCCUCCCUGCCCCUCUGGGUGAGGAAGUGUGCCUUUUUUUAUGCAGCAAGUGAUAAAAGGGUGGAGCGCCCCCCCAUCUUUUGUGGGGUGACCCACUGAAGCCGAAUUUUCAAGGGUCUCUCUCUGUGUGUGUCUUACAGCUCUCCCAUGAGAUAUGGGGAGGUUUUUCCAGGCCCUCUGGGGUCCUCCUAAGCAAAAGCUUCCGGAAGGUUCCCCCCUCAGCCCACAGAAAGGAAUGAAGGGCAGGAGGGCAGUCAAAAUGUCCCCUGGCCCCACAGCUGCCUUUCUGCCAGCCGGCAAAGGAGACCUUUCUCCUCAGCCUUUGACACCACCAGGCUACAGGUCCAUUUGAUCCUCCUUGUUAAGAAAGCAGCAAAUGUCCCUCAGGAGAGGGCACCUGGUUUUUAAUUCCCAAUUCUGUAAGCCCUGCCCAGCUCAUCCCCUGCCUGCAUCUGAGAAGCCAAAGUUAAAAAGAGUCAAAUGCUCAGCAAGGGGGAGAGAGAGUUACAGGAGGCUCUAUGACAAAAGAAAGAAGACAGCCAAGGCUGCCAGGAUCUUCCUGAGCAGAAGCCGCUUCCUGAUGUUCUUCACAAGAAAUAGGCAGAGCGGGCUAUCCUCCUUUAUGUCCAGACAGAUUGAGGUUCGUUUCCCAGCAUCUCCAGGUAAGGCUGAGAAAAAUCCCAGAAAGUUCUUGCUGACGGUCAGUGUUGGUGAGCUUGGGCUAAAUGGACCAUGGGUUUGGCUGACAAAAUGACAGCUUCCUAUGUUUGCAUUGCAAACAUAGUGGUCCUGGUGCCACAAGGCUAUUGUGAAAAGCUCUGCUGUAUUCCCACACGAGGGCUUGCGGAGAGAGCCACACACCACCUGGGUUUUACUGCAUAAGUAAAUGUUGUG
rnacentral:lncRNA from 1 species